UUAAGUCUUGACGAGUAAGAGGGUCGCGACGGUGAGCGCAGAAGGGUCAGGGCGAGAGCCUGCCUGGAGCCGCCGUUGGUGCAGAUCUUGGUGGUAGUAGCAAAUACUCUAGCGAGGGCCUGGAGGACUGACGUGGAGAAGGGUUUCUUGUGAACAGCCGUUGCACAAGAGUCAGUCGACCCUGAGCCCUAGGAGAAAUCCGAUGACGAUGGGUGGCUUGACAAUAUAUGCGCACACACAUUGAUUGAACAUACGUGUUCUCUGUGUAAGACAUAAUAUCGUAGACCACAGACUGUGUCUGUCGUUUGAGUUAUGCACAACGUGCUGCUUGCGACUGUACAGCUCCUAUUGGGCAAAAGGGAAUCCGGUUCCUAUUCCGGAACCUGGCUGCGUAACUGCAUCUUUGCGGGCACUUGCUUGCGAGCGCUCGUCGGGGUAACCCAAACUGGCCUGGAGACGCCGGCGGGGGGUCUGGAAAGAGUUUUCUUUUCUUUAUAAGCGUUCGAGUACCCUGGAAUCCUAUAGCAGGGAGAUAGGGUUUGGAACGCGAAGAGCACCGCAGUUGCGGCGGUGUCCGGACCUUCCCCCCGGACCUUGAAAAUCCAGGUGAGGGCCACGCGGAAGUCGCGCCAG
rnacentral:rRNA from 1 species